GUGAAUCAUCGAAUCUUUGAACGCAAAUUGCACCCUCUGGCAUUCCAGAGAGUAUGCCUGUUUGAGGGUCAGUUUAAAUAAAAAUCGAGGUUGUUGCUUUUUUGUGGCUCCAUCGGAAUUGGGUUAUCUUUGACCUUUUUAAAGGUUGAAGUGACCUAAAAUUGAUACUCCUUGUGCAUCUCAGACGUACAUAAGAAUAUUUUUUUUUUUAUCCGUCCGGGAUUGCCAACCUUUACUAGGUAUGACUACGUUGUUUGUGUGGCAUCGUACCUAUAAAAUACAACUCAUAUUUUGACCUCAA
rnacentral:misc_RNA from 1 species